rnacentral:rRNA from 1 species
UAAGACGAACUGCCCAAACGUUGUUCGGAAUCACUGGGCUUAAAGGGCGCGUAGGCGGCAUGUCAAGUCAGGGGUGAAAUCCGGCAGCUCAACUGUCGAAGUGCCUUUGAUACUGACGUGCUCGAGGGAGGUAGGGGUGUGUGGAACUUCUGGUGGAGCGGUGAAAUGCGUUGAUAUCAGAAGGAACGCCGGUGGCGAAAGCGACGCACUGGACCUCUUCUGACGCUGAGGCGCGAAAGCUAGGGGAGCAAACGGGAUUAGAUACCCCGGUAGUCCUAGCCCUAAACGUUGAGUACUAGAUAGUAGACUUAUCAUGGGUUUACUGUCGAAGCAAAAGUUUUAAGUACUCCGCCUGGGGAGUAUGGUCGCAAGGCUG